UACAUGGGGUGCAAACGUUGCUCGGAAUUAUUAGGCGUAAAGCGCGCGUAGGCGGUUACUCAAGUCGGAUGUGAAAGCCCUCGGCUUAACUGAGGAAGUGCACCCGAAACUGAGUAGCUAGAGUACUAAAGAGGGUCGCGGAAUUCCCGGUGUAGAGGUGAAAUUCGUAGAUAUCGGGAGGAACAUCAGUUGCGAAGGCGGCUCUCUGGACCAGCACUGACACUGAGGCACGAAAGCGUGGGGAGCAAACAGGG
rnacentral:rRNA from 1 species